rnacentral:rRNA from 1 species
AAUCUUCCGCAAUUGGCGAAAGCUUGACGGAGCCACGCCUCGUGAGUGAUGAAGGCCUUCGUGUCGUAAAGCGCUUUCUUCAGGUAUGAAAGAGACUGUAACUGAGUAUGAAGCCACGUCUAACUACCUGCCAGCAGCCGCGGUAAUACGUAGGUGGCGAGCGUUGUACGGAAUUACCGGGCGUAAAGCGCGCGUAUACGGCUUAGUAAGUCAGUUGUGAAAGACCCGGGCACAACCUGGGAGCGGCAUCCGAGACUGUUGAGCUUGAGUGCAGGAGAGGCAAGUCGACUUCCCAGUGUAGAAGUGAAAUGCGUAGAGAUUGGGAGGAACACCAGUGGAGAAGGCGACUUGCUGGACUGUAACUGACGUUGAGGUGCGAAAGCUAGGGGAGCAAACGGG